CCCUUAGAUGUUCUGGGCCGCACGCGCGCUACACUGAUACGUGCAUCGAGUUUAUCCUUAACCGGAAGGUUCGGGUAAUCUUUUUAAAGCGUAUCGUGAUGGGGAUAGAUUAUUGCAAUUUUUAAUCUUCAACGAGGAAUUCCUAGUAAACGCAAGUCAUCAACUUGCAUUGAUUACGUCCCUGCCCUUUGUACACACCGCCCGUCGCUACUACCGAUUGGAUGGCUUAGUGAGCUCUACGGAUUGUCGCUUGUUACCUUCGGGUGCUUGUGGUGAGAAGUAGAUCAAACUUGAUCAUCUAGAGGAAGUAAAAGUCGUANCA
rnacentral:rRNA from 1 species